CACAGCGCCGCGCAUCGACGGAAUAGAGCGAGACCGGACGUGAGAGAGAACGAGGCAGACUCGUUCGCGUUCCGCCGAGGUGGUGCAGUUUUCCAGUGUCGCGUAGAGUGUAGUGUUUUUCUUCCUUCCCCCGUUUCCGAGCAUCGAGUGUUGUGUGCGUCACGGUGAGGCAAAGCAGACCUAUCCCCCAUGAUUAAGGAGUGCAUUUAGUGCAAGGACUGAACACACCUGGGAGCGAUUGAAAAGCACGUCCCACAGACCCCUCCAACUAAAAUCACUCGCCUAACCUUUCCCCUGCCCACCUUAUCCUGCCUCUUAUCCUUCCCCUCCCCCUUCAAUAUCUCAAGAAGAUAUCUCUCUCUCUCUCUCUCUUUCUCUCUUUUUUCUUCUCUUUCUCUCUCUCUCUCUCUCUCUGAACCACAGGAAUCUGUGACUCCGUUAUGGACAGUAUGGAUUCGAAACCAGUUUU